rnacentral:misc_RNA from 1 species
GUAGGUGAACCUGCGGAAGGAUCAUUAACACGUAUCCACGUAUCAACCUCGUGAACCUGUAGUCGCAAGGCUACAAAAGCGGAUAAUUGUGCUUUAGCGGAGAGUACCUGGUUCUGGUGGCAUCAGACUUUCGCGCGCGGUUUUCUCCUUCUGGGCUAACCCAAAGCACUCUUAUGCGUCACCUAUUUUUUUUACCACUAACCAAAAUUUUUUCUGUGAUCAUUGUACUGAUAUACCAGGUUGUGUCGCG